GGGGAUGUAGCUCAGUGGUAGAGUGUUCGCUUUGCAGGACUGUAAAAAAAUGCGAAAUGCCCGGGGAUCGAAACCCCGCUUCUCCA